rnacentral:rRNA from 1 species
UUGUAAAGCUCUGUCAGGAGGGACGAAGCCACUCGGGUGAAUAGCCCAGAGGGUGACGGUACCUCCAGAGGAAGGUCCGGCUAACUACGUGCCAGCAGCCGCGGUAAUACGUAGGGACCGAGCGUUGUCCGGAAUCAUUGGGCGUAAAGCGCGUGUAGGCGGCUUGUCAAGUCCGGUGUGAAAUCUCGGGGCUCAACUCCGAAACUGCACUGGAAACUGGCUUGCUAGAGUCCGGAAGAGGAGAUUGGAAUUCCUGGUGUAGCGGUGAAAUGCGCAGAUAUCAGGAAGAACACCCGUGGCGAAGGCGGAUCUCUGGGACGGUACUGACGCUGAGACGCGAAAGCGUGGGGAGCGAACAGGAUUAGAUACCCUGGUAGUCCACGCCGUAAACGAUGGGCUCUAGGUGUGGGGGGUGUCGACUCCCUCCGUGCCGAAGCUAACGCAUUAAGUGCCCCGCCUGGGGAGUACGGCCGCAAGGCUAAAACUCAAAGGAAUUGACGGGGGCCCGCACAAGCAGCGGAGCAUGUGGUUUAAUUCGACGCAACGCGAAGAACCUUACCUAGGCUUGACAUGGCUCUGUAACAUCUGGAAACAGAUGCCCUCUUCGGAGCAGAGUCACAGGUGGUGCAUGGCUGUCGUCAGCUCGUGUCGUGAGAUGUUGGAUUAAGUCCCGCAACGAGCGCAACCCCUGUCCUAUGUUGCCAGCGGGUAAUGCCGGGGACUCGUAGGAUACUGCCGGUGACAAACCGGAGGAAGGUGGGGAUGACGUCAAGUCAGCAUGCCCCUUAUGUCUAGGGCUACACACGUGCUACAAUGGCCGGUACAAAGGGCUGCGAGACCGCGAGGUGGAGCGAAUCCCAAAAAGCCGGUCCCAGUUCGGAUUGGAGGCUGAAACUCGCCUGCAUGAACGCGGAAUCGCUAGUAAUCGCGUAUCAGCUACGGCGCGGUGAAUGCGUUCCCGGGCCUUGUACACACCGCCCGUCGCACCACGAAAGUCGAUUUUACCUGAAGUCACUGAGUUAACCCGCAAGGGAGGCAGGUGCCGAAGGUAGGGUCGGUGAUUG